AUUGAACGCUGGCGGAAUGCUUAACACAUGCAAGUCGAACGGUAGAGGGGCAACCCUCGAGAGUGGCGAACGGGUGAGUAAUGUAUCGGAACAUGCCCAAUCGUGGGGGAUAACGUAGCGAAAGUUACGCUAAUACCGCAUACGAUCUACGGAUGAAAGCGGGGGAUCGCAAGACCUCGCGCGAUUGGAGUGGCCGAUAUCAGAUUAGGUAGUUGGUGGGGUAAAGGCCUACCAAGCCAACGAUCUGUAGCUGGUCUGAGAGGACGACCAGCCACACUGGGACUGAGACACGGCCCAGAAUCCUACGGGAGGCAGCAGUGGGGAAUUUUGGACAAUGGGCGCAAGCCUGAUCCAGCCAUUCCGCGUGCAGGAAGAAGGCCUUCGGGUUGUAAACUGCUUUUGUACGGAACGAAACGCGCUGUGCUAAUACCACGGCGUAAUGACGGUACCGUAAGAAUAAGCACCGGCUAACUACGUGCCAGCCGCCGCAGUAC
rnacentral:rRNA from 1 species